rnacentral:rRNA from 1 species
AGGUACGCUUAACCCUUCCGGGAGGCGCUUGCCACGGUGUGGCCGAUGACGUGGGUG